UACAGAGGUGGCAAGCGUUGUUCGGAAUUACUGGGCGUAAAGGGCGCGUAGGCGGCUUGGUCAGUCCCGUGUGAAAUCCCUCGGCUCAACUGAGGAACUGCACGGGAAACUGCCUGGCUUGAGUUCGGGAGAGGGAAGCGGAAUUCCGGGUGUAGCGGUGAAAUGCGUAGAUAUCCGGAGGAACACCGGUGGCGAAGGCGGCUUCCUGGACCGACACUGACGCUGAGGCACGAAAGCGUGGGGAGCAAACAGG
rnacentral:rRNA from 1 species